UUGCAUUGUAUGUAGGAGCUAAAAGCCUCCUUUUCUCUUUAUAAUCACUACAUUUUGCGGCAAGUUGUCUGACUUGAGAACUGAGAUCAAGGAAUCAAGGAGCAUCAAAAACAAGUUACUUGUCUGGUGUUUAAGUUGUCUGACCUGAGAACUGAGAUCAAGUGAUUAAGGAACAUCAAAACAAACACUGGUGUCUCUCUGCAUUCUGUGAUCCAGUGUGGCCUCUGAAGCUGCCAGUCUGGUC